rnacentral:rRNA from 1 species
GAUGAACGCUGGCGGCGUGCCUAAUACAUGCAAGUCGAGCGAACGGACGAGAAGCUUGCUUCUCUGAUGUUAGCGGCGGACGGGUGAGUAACACGUGGAUAACCUACCUAUAAGACUGGGAUAACUUCGGGAGACCGGAGCUAAUACCGGAUAAUAUUUUGAACCGCAUGGUUCAAAAGUGAAAGACGGUCUUGCUGUCACUUAUAGAUGGAUCCGCGCUGCAUUAGCUAGUUGGUAAGGUAACGGCUUACCAAGGCAACGAUGCAUAGCCGACCUGAGAGGGUGAUCGGCCACACUGGAACUGAGACACGGUCCAGACUCCUACGGGAGGCAGCAGUAGGGAAUCUUCCGCAAAGGGCGAAAGCCUGACGGAGCAACGCCGCGUGAGUGAUGAAGGUCUUCGGAUCGUAAAACUCUGUUAUUAGGGAAGAACAUAUGUGUAAGUAACUGUGCCCAUCUUGACGGUACCUAAUCAGAAAGCCACGGCUAACUACGUG